rnacentral:snoRNA from 1 species
GCUUCUUCUAGAGGUGCUGCAGAUAUGACUGCUGUGUCAUAUGUGCUUUAGUAGUGGUAGAGAGGAGAGUUGAUAUGUCUACACUCAAGUAUUCUGACCUGUGAAAACUGAUUUAUUAGUAGGCUAA